rnacentral:tRNA from 1 species
CCAAUAAAGUAAAAUUUACAUUUUAAUUUCGACUUAAAAAUUGAUUUUAACUAAAUCUAUUGGA